rnacentral:rRNA from 1 species
UAAGCGACUAAGCGUACACGGUGGAUGCCCUGGCAGUCAGAGGCGAUGAAGGGCGUGCUAAUCUGCGAUAAGCGCCGGUAAGGUGAUAUGAACCGUUAUAACCGGCGAUACCCGAAUGGGGAAACCCAGUGUGACUCGUCACACUAUCAUUAACUGAAUCCAUAGGUUAAUGAGGCGAACCGGGGGAACUGAAACAUCUAAGUACCCCGAGGAAAAGAAAUCAACCGAGAUUCCCCCAGUAGCGGCGAGCGAACGGGGAGGAGCCCAGAGCCUGAAUCAGCAUGUGUGUUAGUGGAAGCGUCUGGAAAGGCGCGCGAUACAGGGUGACAGCCCCGUACACAAAAGCGCAUGUGCUGUGAGCUCGAUGAGUAGGGCGGGACACGUGGUAUCCUGUCUGAAUAUGGGGGGACCAUCCUCCAAGGCUAAAUACUCCUGACUGACCGAUAGUGAACCAGUACCGUGAGGGAAAGGCGAAAAGAACCCCGGCGAGGGGAGUGAAAAAGAACCUGAAACCGUGUACGUACAAGCAGUGGGAGCACCCUUUGGGUGUGACUGCGUACCUUUUGUAUAAUGGGUCAGCGACUUAUAUUCUGUAGCAAGGUUAACCGAAUAGGGGAGCCGGAGGGAAACCGAGUCUUAACCGGGCGUUAAGUUGCAGGGUAUAGACCCGAAACCCGGUGAUCUAGCCAUGGGCAGGUUGAAGGUUGGGUAACACUAACUGGAGGACCGAACCGACUAAUGUUGAAAAAUUAGCGGAUGACCUGUGGCUGGGGGUGAAAGGCCAAUCAAACCGGGAGAUAGCUGGUUCUCCCCGAAAGCUAUUUAGGUAGCGCCUCGUGAAUUCAUCUCCGGGGGUAGAGCACUGUUUCGGCUAGGGGGCCAUCCCGGCUUACCAACCCGAUGCAAACUGCGAAUACCGGAGAAUGUUAUCACGGGAGACACACGGCGGGUGCUAACGUCCGUCGUGAAGAGGGAAACAACCCAGACCGCCAGCUAAGGUCCCAAAGUCAUGGUUAAGUGGGAAACGAUGUGGGAAGGCCCAGACAGCCAGGAUGUUGGCUUAGAAGCAGCCAUCAUUUAAAGAAAGCGUAAUAGCUCACUGGUCGAGUCGGCCUGCGCGGAAGAUGUAACGGGGCUAAACCAUGCACCGAAGCUGCGGCAGCGACACUGUGUGUUGUUGGGUAGGGGAGCGUUCUGUAAGCCUGUGAAGGUGGCCUGUGAGGGUUGCUGGAGGUAUCAGAAGUGCGAAUGCUGACAUAAGUAACGAUAAAGCGGGUGAAAAGCCCGCUCGCCGGAAGACCAAGGGUUCCUGUCCAACGUUAAUCGGGGCAGGGUGAGUCGACCCCUAAGGCGAGGCCGAAAGGCGUAGUCGAUGGGAAACGGGUUAAUAUUCCCGUACUUGGUGUUACUGCGAAGGGGGGACGGAGAAGGCUAUGUUGGCCGGGCGACGGUUGUCCCGGUUUAAGCGUGUAGGUGUGUGUUCCAGGUAAAUCCGGUUCACUUUAACACUGAGGCGUGACGACGAGGCACUACGGUGCUGAAGCAACAAAUGCCCUGCUUCCAGGAAAAGCCUCUAAGCAUCAGGUAACAUCAAAUCGUACCCCAAACCGACACAGGUGGUCAGGUAGAGAAUACCAAGGCGCUUGAGAGAACUCGGGUGAAGGAACUAGGCAAAAUGGUGCCGUAACUUCGGGAGAAGGCACGCUGACACGUAGGUGAAGUGAUUUACUCAUGGAGCUGAAGUCAGUCGAAGAUACCAGCUGGCUGCAACUGUUUAUUAAAAACACAGCACUGUGCAAACACGAAAGUGGACGUAUACGGUGUGACGCCUGCCCGGUGCCGGAAGGUUAAUUGAUGGGGUCAGCGCAAGCGAAGCUCCUGAUCGAAGCCCCGGUAAACGGCGGCCGUAACUAUAACGGUCCUAAGGUAGCGAAAUUCCUUGUCGGGUAAGUUCCGACCUGCACGAAUGGCGUAAUGAUGGCCAGGCUGUCUCCACCCGAGACUCAGUGAAAUUGAACUCGCUGUGAAGAUGCAGUGUACCCGCGGCAAGACGGAAAGACCCCGUGAACCUUUACUAUAGCUUGACACUGAACAUUGAGCCUUGAUGUGUAGGAUAGGUGGGAGGCUUUGAAGUGUGGACGCCAGUCUGCAUGGAGCCGACCUUGAAAUACCACCCUUUAAUGUUUGAUGUUCUAACGUGGACCCGUUACCCGGGUUGCGGACAGUGUCUGGUGGGUAGUUUGACUGGGGCGGUCUCCUCCUAAAGAGUAACGGAGGAGCACUAAGGUUGGCUAAUCCUGGUCGGACAUCAGGAGGUUAGUGCAAUGGCAUAAGCCAGCUUGACUGCGAGCGUGACGGCGCGAGCAGGUGCGAAAGCAGGUCAUAGUGAUCCGGUGGUUCUGAAUGGAAGGGCCAUCGCUCAACGGAUAAAAGGUACUCCGGGGAUAACAGGCUGAUACCGCCCAAGAGUUCAUAUCGACGGCGGUGUUUGGCACCUCGAUGUCGGCUCAUCACAUCCUGGGGCUGAAGUAGGUCCCAAGGGUAUGGCUGUUCGCCAUUUAAAGUGGUACGCGAGCUGGGUUUAGAACGUCGUGAGACAGUUCGGUCCCUAUCUGCCGUGGGCGCUGGAGAACUGAGGGGGGCUGCUCCUAGUACGAGAGGACCGGAGUGGACGCAUCACUGGUGUUCGGGUUGUCAUGCCAAUGGCACUGCCCGGUAGCUAAAUGCGGAAGAGAUAAGUGCUGAAAGCAUCUAAGCACGAAACUUGCCCCGAGAUGAGUUCUCCCUGAGACUUUAGGUCUCCUGAAGGAACGUUGAAGACGACGACGUUGAUAGGCCGGGUGUGUAAGCGCAGCGAUGCGUUGAGCUAACCGGUACUAAUGAACCGUGAGGCUUAACCU